rnacentral:rRNA from 1 species
GACGAACGCUGGCGGCGUGCCUAACACAUGCAAGUCGAGCGGAGCCAAACGAAAGAUUCUUCGGAUGAUUUUGUGGACGCUUAGCGGCGGACGGGUGAGUAACGCGUGAGUAACCUGCCUAUAAGAGGGGGAUAAUACCUGGAAACGGGUACUAAUACCGCAUAUUGAAUUUAAGUCACAUGGUUUAAAUUUGAAAGAUUUAUCGCUUAUAGAUGGACUCGCGUCUGAUUAGCUAGUUGGCGGGGUAACGGCCCACCAAGGCGACGAUCAGUAGCCGAACUGAGAGGUUGAUCGGCCACAUUGGGACUGAGACACGGCCCAG